GGCAUGAUUACCGGCGGUUCGCCUUAAGUUGAUCCUGGCUCACGAUGAACGCUGGCGGCGUGCUUAACACAUGCAAGUCGAACGAAGCACUUAAAUGGAUUUCCUUCGGGGAUGAAGCUUUUGUGACUGAGUGGCGGACGGGUGAGUAACGCGUGGGUAACCUGCCUCAUACAGGGGGAUAACAGUUGGAAACGACUGCUAAUACCGCAUAAGCGCACAACUUCGCAUGAAGUGGUGUGAAAAACUCCGGUGGUAUGAGAUGGACCCGCGUUGGAUUAGCUAGUUGGCGGGGCAACGGCCCACCAAGGCGACGAUCCAUAGCCGACCUGAGAGGGUGACCGGCCCCAUUGGGACUGAGACACGGCCCAAACUCCUACGGGAGGCAGCAGUGGGGAAUAUUGCACAAUGGGCGAAAGCCUGAUGCAGCGACGCCGCGUGAACGAAGAAGUAUUUCGGUAUGUAAAGUUCUAUCAGCAGGGAAGAAGAAUGACGGUACCUGACUAAGAAGCACCGGCUAAAUACGUGCCAGCAGCCGCGGUAAUACGUAUGGUGCAAGCGUUAUCCGGAUUUACUGGGUGUAAAGGGAGCGCAGGCGGCGCGGCAAGUCUGAUGUGAAAGCCCGGGGCUCAACCCCGGUACUGCAUUGGAAACUGUCGUGCUAGAGUGUCGGAGGGGUAAGCGGAAUUCCUAGUGUAGCGGUGAAAUGCGUAGAUAUUAGGAGGAACACCAGUGGCGAAGGCGGCUUACUGGACGAUAACUGACGCUGAGGCUCGAAAGCGUGGGGAGCAAACAGGAUUAGAUACUCUGGUAGUCCACGCCGUAAACGAUGAAUACUAGGUGUUGGGGAACAUGGUUCUUCGGUGCCGUCGCAAACGCAGUAAGUAUUCCACCUGGGGAGUACGUUCGCAAGAAUGAAACUCAAAGGAAUUGACGGGGACCCGCACAAGCGGUGGAGCAUGUGGUUUAAUUCGAAGCAACGCGAAGAACCUUACCAAGUCUUGACAUCCCGAUGACCGUUCUUUAACAGGAACUUUUCUUCGGAACAUCGGUGACAGGUGGUGCAUGGUUGUCGUCAGCUCGUGUCGUGAGAUGUUGGGUUAAGUCCCGCAACGAGCGCAACCCUUAUCUUUAGUAGCCAGCAUUUCGGAUGGGCACUCUAGAGAGACUGCCAGGGAUAACCUGGAGGAAGGCGGGGAUGACGUCAAAUCAUCAUGCCCCUUAUGACUUGGGCUACACACGUGCUACAAUGGCGUAAACAAAGGGAGGCAGAGCCGUGAGGCCGAGCAAAUCUCAAAAAUAACGUCUCAGUUCGGAUUGUAGUCUGCAACUCGACUACAUGAAGCUGGAAUCGCUAGUAAUCGCAAAUCAGAAUGUUGCGGUGAAUACGUUCACCGGGUAUUGUACACACCGCCCGUC
rnacentral:rRNA from 1 species